AGUAUGUGAACGAAAAAACAUCAAGAUAAAAAUAAAAACGAACCCAUUAUUUCAGUUCGACCUACGCCGUUCGGUAUUUACGUCGUAACCGUAUUAUUCUGCUCAGAACGCUUAGAAAGUUACAUGUUUCGGCUACGUAACGGAGGCACAUAAAUAUAAGUAUAAUAAGUAUGAAUACGAGGUCAAACAUUUUUGGAACGUGAAGAUUUUGACAAGAGGGCAUUUCAAAGACGUCAUGUUCCAUGCAAGAAGAGAAAUUGGACGACUGAAUGGAAAAAGUGAAAGUCCUCACAGAAGAAAGAUUCAAGUUCGUGGAAUUCAAUUAAUGACAUUAAGAAAUGUAUUUGAUGACGUUAUUAAUGAAACAAAGUAAACAAUACCAUCGCUAUAGACGAUAUGAUUCUUUGUUCAAUAUUGUAAUAAGUGUUCAUGGUAAGACUUAGUUAUAAUAGUUAUACUUAUAAUCAAUUAUAAACGUAGCUAUGAUGAAUCUAUUAAGAUUUUAAGUUCACAUAUUUUAAAU